rnacentral:rRNA from 1 species
GACGAACGCUGGCGGCGUGCUUAACACAUGCAAGUCGAACGGAAAGGCCCUGCUUGCAGGGUACUCGAGUGGCGAACGGGUGAGUAACACGUGGGUGAUCUGCCCUGCACUUCGGGAUAAGCCUGGGAAACUGGGUCUAAUACCGGAUAUGACCUUCCAUGUAGUGUGGGGGGUGGAAAGAUUUAUCGGUGUGGGAUGAGCCCGCGGCCUAUCAGCUUGUUGGUGGGGUAAUGGCCUACCAAGGCGUCGACGGGUAGCCGGCCUGAGAGGGUGGACGGCCACAUUGGGACUGAGAUACGGCCCAGACUCCUACGGGAGGCAGCAGUGGGGAAUAUUGCACAAUGGGCGGAAGCCUUAUGCAGCGACGCCGCGUGGGGGAUGACGACCUUCGGGUUGUAAACCUCUUUCGACAGGGACGAAGCUUCGGUGACGGUACCUGUAUAAGAAGCACCGGCUAACUACGUG